rnacentral:rRNA from 1 species
GUCCAGCUCUACGGAGCACACUGGGAAUUGAACAUUGCGGAAGCCUGUCUAGCCAUACGUGUGAGGAAGAAGGCCUCGGCUUGUAAGCUUUCUAGCGGAAAGAAUUGCUUCUGUAUACUAGAGUAGAGGCGGUCCGGAAGAGAAGCACUGGCUAAUACGGUCCAGCAGCCGCUGUAAUACGUAGGGUGCGAUCGUUAUUCUGAAUUACUGGCGUUAUAGCGUGAGCAGGCGGGUUUGUAUAGUCAGAUGGGAAUUCCCGUGGCUCAACCUGCGAACUCCAUUGAAACUCGAAGACUAGAGUAUAGCAGAGGGGGGUAGAAUUCCACGUGUAGCAGUGAUAUGCGUAGAUAUGUGGAGGAAUACCAAUGGCGAAGGCAGCCCCUUGGGUUAAUACUGACGCUCAUGCACGAAAGCGUGGGGAGCAAACAGGAUUAGAUACCCUGGUAGUCCACGCCAUAAACGAUGUCAACUAGGUGUUGGGGAAGGAGACUUCCUUAGUACCGUAGCUAACGCGUGAAGUUGACCGCCUGGGGAGUACGGUCGCAAGAUUAAAACUCAAAGGAAUUGACGGGGACCAGCACACCCUUGACAUGUCAGAAAGAUCGCAGAGAUGUGAUUGUGCUCGAAAGAGAAUCUGAACACAGGUGCUGCAUGGCUGUCGUCAGCUCGUGUCGUGAGAUGUUGGGUUAAGUCCCGCAACGAGCGCAACCCUUGUCAUUAAUGCCAUCAUUUAGUUGGGCACUUUAAUGAGACUGCCGGUGAUAAACCGGAGGAAGGUGGGGAUGACGUCAAGUCCUCAUGGCCCUUAUGGGUAGGGCUUCACACGUAAUACAAUGGCGCGUACAGAGGGUUGCCAACCCGCGAGGGGGAGCUAAUCUCAGAAAGCGCGUUGUAGUCGGGAUUGGAGUGAGCAACUCGAGUCCAUGAAGUUGGACUCGAUAGUAACUGCGGAUGUGCUUGUCGUGCAGAAUAAGUACCUCGG